UACGUAGGGUGCGAGCGUUGUCCGGAAUUAUUGGGCGUAAAGGGCUCGUAGGCGGUCUGUUGCGUCAGGAGUGAAAACUCGGGGCUUAACCCCCGAGCCUGCUUCUGAUACGGGGCAGACUAGAGGUAUGCAGGGGGAGAACGGAAUUCCUGGUGUAGCGGUGAAAUGCGCAGAUAUCAGGAGGAACACCGGUGGCGAAAAGCGGCUUCCUGGUCCAGCACCGACGUCAGGCACGAAAAGCGUGGGGGAGCAAAACAGG
rnacentral:rRNA from 1 species